rnacentral:sRNA from 1 species
AAUAAGAACGGGUUCAAAUGGGGUAAAUUACUGUCCGACAUUGCUAAUGGAGUACACAUAAACCGUGAACCCAAUAUGAAGUGGCUGAAGGAUGUCGAUGUUGUGUAUGCUCCGAUGAACUGGAAGAGUGAACAUUGGGUUGCUUUGGGAAUCAACCUUAAUGAACGGCUAAUAACUGUGUAUGACGCUUUAAUAUCGCACACGCGGGAGUCGGCUGUGAAGGCGAGAAUGACUACAGGAGAUUGCGGGCCAUACACGAUGAAGUUCUUGGAGUUGCUUGCGUUUGGACACCCUUUUUCGAAAUUGACAACCAUUCGAGAAGCAGAUAUGGUCUUCUACCGUCAGAAAUACUCGGUUGACAUCUACGAGCACGGCAAGCGGGAGGCCGGUACUAUGCACUUGCUUUAAUCGUCCAAGAACAAUAUUCUCGUUCUUUGCAACUAAUUAUUAUGAACAAACCUAUCUUAGAUAUAUGAUUGCAACUACAUUUAAUUUGGAGAUUGUCAGAAGUUAAUUUAGUAUAUUCUAUCAUAUUGUCGUACACAUCGUUCACUUUUAAUUAU